rnacentral:rRNA from 1 species
UACGAAGGGGGCUAGCGUUGCUCGGAAUCACUGGGCGUAAAGCGCACGUAGGCGGAUCUUUAAGUCAGGGGUGAAAUCCUGGAGCUCAACUCCAGAACUGCCUUUGAUACUGGGGAUCUCGAGUCCGGAAGAGGUGAGUGGAACUCCGAGUGUAGAGGUGAAAUUCGUAGAUAUUCGGAAGAACACCAGUGGCGAAGGCGGCUCACUGGUCCGUUACUGACGCUGAGGUGCGAAAGCGUGGGGAGCAAACAGG